CGCUGGCGGCGUGCUUAACACAUGCAAGUCGAACGGGAUCCCUGGCAGCUUGCUGCCGGGGUGAGAGUGGCGAACGGGUGAGUAAUGCGUGACCGACCUGCCCCAUGCACCGGAAUAGCUCCUGGAAACGGGUGGUAAUGCCGGAUGUUCCACAUGAGCGCAUGCGAGUGUGGGAAAGGCUUUUGCGGCAUGGGAUGGGGUCGCGUCCUAUCAGCUUGUUGGUGGGGUAACGGCCUACCAAGGCGUUGACGGGUAGCCGGCCUGAGAGGGCGACCGGCCACAUUGGGACUGAGAUACGGCCCAGACUCCUACGGGAGGCAGCAGUGGGGAAUAUUGCACAAUGGGCGCAAGCCUGAUGCAGCGACGCCGCGUGCGGGAUGGAGGCCUUCGGGUUGUAAACCGCUUUUGUUCAAGGGCAAGGCACGGUUUCGGCCGUGUUGAGUGGAUUGUUCGAAUAAGCACCGGCUAACUACGUGCCAGCAGCCGCGG
rnacentral:rRNA from 1 species